GCGCAAAAGGGGUGGAGUAUGUUAAUCACUCAAUCACCGCUAAUCAAGGAAGGAAAUUGAAUAUAAGGGUGUGUGUAGUACCUGGGAAAAUGCGCGUCACCCGUUUGUGCAUUGAGAAGUUUGCAGUGAAAUCGUGAUGGAUUGUUGGGGAGAGACGGCUGCUUGUCGAUCUGUUGCUUCCUGUGGUUGAAGUCUGGUGCAGCGCGAAAGUCGUUGCAGUCUCAGACAAACGAACAUUGAGCUGUUUUAACGACAAGCCAGAGCUGUUUUAUCCGCUGAUCCUAGUGUUGAAGAGGACACUCGAUACUCACCAAACUGUUUCUUGCCUGCAAAUGUGUGACGCGCGAGGUUGUCUGCGCCGUCUAUGGUCUGCACGGAUUUAAAUCUGUUUGUGGAACUUGGACUCAGGAACUUCUGAGAAUCUAUUUUGUUAUUAGUAUUUGUUGUGAAUAAAUAUUCUUUG